GAGCGACGCCGCGUGAGCGAAGAAGGCCUUCGGGUCGUAAAGCUCUGUUGUUAGAGAAGAACAUGGGUGAGAGUAACUGUUCACCCCUUGACGGUAUCUAACCAGAAAGCCACGGCUAACUACGUGCCAGCAGCCGCGGUAAUACGUAGGUGGCAAGCGUUGUCCGGAAUUAUUGGGCGUAAAGCGCGCGCAGGCGGUCUCUUAAGUCUGAUGUGAAAGCCCCCGGCUCAACCGGGGAGGGUCAUUGGAAACUGGGAGACUUGAGGACAGAAGAGGAGAGUGGAAUUCCAAGUGUAGCGGUGAAAUGCGUAGAUAUUUGGAGGAACACCAGUGGCGAAGGCGGCUCUCUGGUCUGUUACUGACGCUGAGGCGCGAAAGCGUGGGGAGCAAACAGGAUUAGAUACCCUGGUAGUCCACGCCGUAAACGAUGAGUGCUAAGUGUUAGGGGGUUUCCGCCCCUUAGUGCUGCAGUUMACGCAUUAAGCACUCCGCCUGGGGAGUACGACCGCAAGGUUGAAACUCA
rnacentral:rRNA from 1 species